rnacentral:rRNA from 1 species
UAUACGACCGUACCGCAAACCGACACUGGUGCGCGAGAUGAGUAUUCUAAGGCGCUUGAGAGAACUCAGGAGAAGGAACUCGGCAAAUUGACACCGUAACUUCGCAAGAAGGUGUGCCCUAUUAGUGUGUAGUGAACAACGAAGCAUGAAUGGGUUGCAAAAAAUCGGUGGCUGCGACUGUUUAUUAAAAACACAGCACUCUGCAAACACGAAAGUGGGCGUAUAGGGUGUGACGCCUGCCCGGUGCUGGAAGAUUAAAUGAUGGGGUGCAAGCUCUUGAUUGAAGUCCCAGUAAACGGCGGCCGUAACAAUAACGGUCCUAAGGUAGCGAAAUUCCUUGUCGGGUAAGUUCCGACCUGCACGAAUGGCGUAACGAUGGCCACACUGUCUCCUCCUGAGACUCAGCGAAGUUGAAAUGUUUGUGAUGAUGCAAUCUCCCCGCGGAAAGACGGAAAGACCCCAUGAACCUUUACUGUAGCUUUGUAUUGGACUUUGAACAGAUCUGUGUAGGAUAGGUGGGAGGCUUUGAAGCAGGGUCGCUAGAUCUUGUGGAGCCAACGUUGAAAUACCACCCUGGUGUGUUUGAGGUUCUAACCUAGGUCCAUUAUCUGGAUCGGGGACAGUGCAUGGUAGGCAGUUUGACUGGGGCGGUCUCCUCCCAAAGCGUAACGGAGGAGUUCGAAGGUACGCUAGUUACGGUCGGACAUCGUGACGAUAGUGCAAUGGCAUAAGCGUGCUUAACUGCGAGACUGACAAGUCGAGCAGAUGCGAAAGCAGGACAUAGUGAUCCGGUGGUUCUGUAUGGAAGGGCCAUCGCUCAACGGAUAAAAGGUACUCUGGGGAUAACAGGCUGAUACCGCCCAAGAGUUCAUAUCGACGGCGGUGUUUGGCACCUCGAUGUCGGCUCAUCUCAUCCUGGGGCUGUAGCUGGUCCCAAGGGUAUGGCUGUUCGCCAUUUAAAGAGGUACGUGAGCUGGGUUUAAAACGUCGUGAGACAGUUUGGUCCCUAUCUUCCGUGGGCGCUGCAGAUUUGAGGAAGCCUGCUCCUAGUACGAGAGGACCGGAGUGGACACACCUCUGGUGUAUCGGUUGUCACGCCAGUGGCAUUGCCGAGUAGCUAAGUGUGGAAGAGAUAACCGCUGAAAGCAUCUAAGCGGGAAACUCGUUUCAAGAUGAGAUCUGCCGGGGCCUUGAGCCCCCUAAAGAGUCGUUCAAGACCAGGACGUUGAUAGGUCAGGUGUGGAAGCCA